CUCUUAUCAAGAGUGGUGGAGGGACUAGCCCGAUGAAGCCCGGCAACCCCGGUUAACCGACCGGAAGGUGCCAAAUCUUGCAAGAGCCUUAAUGGCUGUUGAGAGAUAAGAG
rnacentral:ncRNA from 1 species